GACGAACGCUGGCGGCGUGCUUAACACAUGCAAGUCGAACGGUGAAGCGCCUUCCUUUUUGGUGGGUGUGGAUGAGUGGCGAACUGGUGCGUAACACGUGAGUAACCUGCCCCCUUCUUCUGGAUAACCGCAGGAAAGUGUGGCUAAUACGGGAUAUUCUGGGUCUGUCGCAUGAUGGGUCUGGGCAAGAUAUUGUUUCGGUGGGGGAUGGGCUCGCGGCCUAUCAGCUUGUUGGUGGUGUGAUGGCCUACCAAGGCGGGGACGGGUAGCCGGCCUGAGAGGGUCGGCGGCCCCAGUGGUGAGGCGCCGCCGAGCAGACUACUGCGGGCGGCAGUAGGGAGGAUUAUAGAACGGUGGGAGCCAUGCUGAUGCAGCGCCGCGGCGGGGGAGAUGGAGGCCUUCGGGUUGUCAACCUCUUUCGGGGGUGAAGCCGGCUGGCCUAGUAUGUGGGUGGGUUGACGGUAGCUGGAUAAGAAGCGCCGGCUAACUACGUG
rnacentral:rRNA from 1 species